GGAGAACAAUAUUGUUGUCUUGAUUUACAUAAUAUACGGUUAUGGUUUUUCUUUUUCACGUUUUAGUUUUACUUUUUUUCUUUUGUUUUUAAGUCUGUACACAACUUUUUCUACUAGAAAACUUUGUCCAACCGAAACUUUAUACGGGAACUUUCUUGUAGCAUUUUUGAUCUUGUCAGUGCAUCGAAGAAGUCUUUCCUUGUACGGUUUUCUUAAUAAACG